CCGUAGCCUGGUAGCGGGGGGUAACUACUGGAAACGAUAGCUAAUACCGCAUAACAGUAGAUAUUGCAUGAUAUCUACUUGAAAGGUGCAAUUGCAUCACUACCAGAUGGACCUGCGUUGUAUUAGCUAGUUGGUGAGGUAACGGCUCACCAAGGCAACGAUACAUAGCCGACCUGAGAGGGUGAUCGGCCACACUGGGACUGAGACACGGCCCAG
rnacentral:rRNA from 1 species